rnacentral:rRNA from 1 species
AGAGUUUGAUCCUGGCUCAGAUUGAACGCUGGCGGCAGGCUUAACACAUGCAAGUCGAGCGGAAAGGCCCCUUCGGGGGUACUCGAGUGGCGAACGGGUGAGUAACACGUGAGUAAUCUGCCCUUCACUCGCGGAUAAGCUUCGGAAACGGGGUCUAAUACGCGAUGUACACGAGCUCCUGCAUGGGGGUUGGUGGAAAGUGUUUAGCGGUGGGGGAUGUGCUCGCGGCCUAUCAGCUUGUUGGUGAGGUAACGGCUCACCAAGGCUUCGACGGGUAGCCGGCCUGAGAGGGUGGACGGCCACACUGGGACUGAGACACGGCCCAGACUCCUACGGGAGGCAGCAGUGGGGAAUUUUCCGCAAUGGGCGAAAGCCUGACGGAGCAAUGCCGCGUGGGGGUAGAAGGCCCAUGGGUUGUAAACCCCUUUUCUUGGAGAAGAAGCAGUGACGGUAUCCGAGGAAUAAGCAUCGGCUAACUCUGUGCCAGCAGCCGCGGUAAUACAGAGGAUGCAAGCGUUAUCCGGAAUGAUCGGGCGUAAAGCGUCUGUAGGUGGCUUCUUAAGUCCGCCGUCAAAUCCCAGGGCUCAACCCUGGACGGGCGGCGGAAACUAUCGAGCUGGAGUGCGGUAGGGGCAGGGGGAAUUUCCGGUGGAGCGGUGAAAUGCGUAGAGAUCGGAAGGAACACCAAUGGCGAAGGCACUCUGCCGGGCCGACACUGACACUGAGGGACGAAAGCUAGGGGAGCGAAUGGGAUUAGAUACCCCAGUAGUCCUAGCCGUAAACGAUGGAUACUAAGCGCUGCGCGUAUCGACCCGCGCGGUGCCGUAGCCAACGCGUUAAGUAUCCCGCCUGGGGAGUACGUUCGCAAGAAUGAAACUCAAAGGAAUUGACGGGGGCCUGCGCAAGCGGUGGAGCAUGUGGUUUAAUUCGAUACAACGCGCAGCACCUUACCGCCCCGUGACAUGCCCCCGGUCGGGCGAGGGACCGGGGUGCACCGGCGCUGCAUGGCUGUCGUCAGCCCGUGUCGUGAGAUGUCUGGUUCGGUCCGGGAACGAGCGCAACCCCCAACUGGUAACCAAUCCCCUUGGGCAACUUCACGACCGUGUGGUCAUCCCCCGGGGCCAAAAACGCCUACAACCCGACGAUCGGCGACACCGGCUGUGCACAACACGCCCCCGCCGAUCAAACCCCAAGGUGGGGAAGGCGCGUACCCGGGGCACGGCCCAUCGGGAGAGUCACCGGGCACGGCCAUCGAGAGCGUGGGGGAGGGUGGGGAUCACGUCAAGUCCGCAUGGCCCCUAUGGGGUGGGCUACACACGUGCUGCAUUGGCUUCCACAGCGGGUGGCCCGGCUGCCGGGGGGCGCGGAUCCGCACCAAAGGAUGCCCACGUUCGGAUGGUUCCCCGCAGCUCGGGAAC